AACGCGUGAGAAUCUAGCUUUAGGUCUGGGACAACCACUGGAAACGGUGGCUAAUACCGGAUGUGCCCUGAGGGGUGAAAGGUUAACUGCCUGAAGAUGAGCUCGCGUCUGAUUAGCUAGUUGGUGUGGUAAGAGCGCACCAAGGCGACGAUCAGUAGCUGGUCUGAGAGGACGAUCAGCCACACUGGGACUGAGACACGGCCCAGACUCCUACGGGAGGCAGCAGUGGGGAAUUUUCCGCAAUGGGCGAAAGCCUGACGGAGCAAUACCGCGUGAGGGAGGAAGGCUCUUGGGUCGUAAACCUCUUUUCUCAGGGAAGAACACAAUGACGGUACCUGAGGAAUAAGCAUCGGCUAACUCCGUGCCAGCAGCCGCGGUAAUACGGAGGAUGCAAGCGUUAUCCGGAAUGAUUGGGCGUAAAGCGUCCGCAGGUGGCUAUGUAAGUCUGCUGUUAAAGAGUCUAGCUCAACUAGAUAAGAGCAGUGGAAACUACAAGGCUAGAGUGCGUUCGGGGCAGAGGGAAUUCCUGGUGUAGCGGUGAAAUGCGUAGAGAUCAGGAAGAACACCGGUGGCGAAGGCGCUCUGCUAGGCCGCAACUGACACUGAGGGACGAAAGCUAGGGGAGCG
rnacentral:rRNA from 2 species